UUGAUGUGUAUCAGACGGCUACUACAGGUAAUACAGCUGGAUUAGUUUUUACUAAUAUUGGCAGAAUUUUGUGCUUAGGAAUUAAGAAUGCAUAAUGUAUAUGUAAUAAUAUCAGUGUUAAAUUCGAGUUUAUAUUUUAGAAUCUACUGAUGUAGGAAAGAACAACCCCCACCUGCCGGAAAAAGGUACAGUAAUAUAUGUGCUAAAACAAAAGAAAAAUUACAUUUUUGUGUACAUUGUGCUUUUCCAUGACUUUUGCCAUGUUCUUGUAUUUAAAAUGAUGUAAAAUGUAUUUUUAAAUAAAUAUUGUGUACUGUGUGUGUAUAUUUUGUACUGUGUGUGUGUGUGUGUGUGUGUAUUGUGUACUGUGUGUGUAUAUUUUGUACUGUUUGUGUGUGUAUUAGGUGUGCUGGUGAUUUUCCUGGCGUUCUCUGUGCUGCUGGUGGUGGUGGUCACUCUGCUGUUGGUCACUCUGUGUCUAAAGUUUGGAAACAGAAGGAAAAAUACAGAGCCUAAACCGGAGGAAACUGAGCUGCAGCUGCAGAAGAGUUCAGGUGGAGCUCGUUUCUGCCAAAGACCACAGCGAGGUCCAGUACGCAUCACUGGGACGCCAUAACUUCAGACCUCGAGGAUGGACAAGAGACAGCCGACAGCAAGUCAUCUAUUCCACACUGAUGCUCACGCCAACCAGCUCUCCAACCAACACCUCCAUUACUCCCAGACUGUAGAUCCAACCAGCUCUCCAACCAACACCUCCAUUACUCCCAGACUGUAGAUCCAACCAGCUCUCCAACCAACACCUCCAUUACU
rnacentral:lncRNA from 1 species